rnacentral:sRNA from 12 species
GGAUUGUGCUUAAUGAGUACGAUCUUUAUGAGAAGGUACGAACCGCAAAAAGGGAAUACUAGUUGUAUCUCUCUCCUCUGGUGACCAGUAUGUCUAAAAACUACCGUUUGGGCUGGGUGAAAUGCCCUUGGUCCACC